UAGGGAAUCUUCCGCAAUGGGCGAAAGCCUGACGGAGCAACGCCGCGUGAGUGAUGAAGGUCUUCGGAUCGUAAAACUCUGUUAUUAGGGAAGAACAUAUGUGUAAGUAACUGUGCACAUCUUGACGGUACCUAAUCAGAAAGCCACGGCUAACUACGUGCCAGCAGCCGCGGUAAUACGUAGGUGGCAAGCGUUAUCCGGAAUUAUUGGGCGUAAAGCGCGCGUAGGCGGUUUUUUAAGUCUGAUGUGAAAGCCCACGGCUCAACCGUGGAGGGUCAUUGGAAACUGGAAAACUUGAGUGCAGAAGAGGAAAGUGGAAUUCCAUGUGUAGCGGUGAAAUGCGCAGAGAUAUGGAGGAACACCAGUGGCGAAGGCGACUUUCUGGUCUGUAACUGACGCUGAUGUGCGAAGGCGUGGGGAUCAAACAGGAUUAGAUACCCUGGUAGUCCACGCCGUAAACGAUGAGUGCUAAGUGUUAGGGGGUUUCCGCCCCUUAGUGCUGCAGCUAACGCAUUAAGCACUCCGCCUGGGGAGUACGACCGCAAGGUUG
rnacentral:rRNA from 1 species